rnacentral:rRNA from 1 species
GAACGCGAAAGUUCUCUUCGGAGGAUGAGUAGAGUGGCGCACGGGUGAGUAACACGUAGGUAAUCUGCCUUUGGGUGGGGAAUAACAGCCGGAAACGGCUGCUAAUACCGCAUAAUGCAGCGGCAUCACAUGAUGACAGUUGUUAAAGCGGGGGAUCUCGCAAGAGACCUCGCGCCUGAAGAGGAGCCUGCGGCAGAUUAGCUAGUUGGUGAGGUAAAGGCUCACCAAGGCUGUGAUCUGUAGCCGGCCUGAGAGGGCGGUCGGCCACACUGACACUGACAUACGGGUCAGACUCCUACGGGAGGCAGCAGUCGGGAAUUUUGGGCAAUGGGCGAAAGCCUGACCCAGCAACGCCGCGUGAAGGAUGAAAUCCCUCGGGAUGUAAACUUCGCAAGAAUGGGAAGAAUAAGUCUGAGCUAAUAACUCAGAUGAUGACGGUACUAUUUGUAAGCUCCGGCUAACUCCGUGCCAGCAGCCACGGUAAUACGGGGGGAGCAAGCGUUGUUCGGAUUUACUGGGCGUAAAGGGCGCGUAGGCGGCCACAACAAGUCACUUGUGAAAUCUCCGGGCUUAACUCGGAACGGUCAAGUGAUACUGUUGGGCUAGAGUGCGGAAGGGGCAACUGGAAUUCUCGGUGUAGCGGUGAAAUGCGUAGAUAUCGAGAGGAACACCUGCGGCGAAGGCGGGUUGCUGGGCCGACACUGACGCUGAGGCGCGAAAGCUAGGGGAGCGAACGGGAUUAGAUACCCCGGUAGUCCUAGCCUUAAACGAUGGAUGCUUGGUGUCUGGGGUUAUAAAGUCCCCGGGUGCCGUC